GACGUAGGGUCCAAGCGUUGUCCGGAUUUACUGGGCGUAAAGGGCUCGUAGGCGGCCAACUAAGUCGGAUGUGAAAUCCCCAGGCUCAACCUGGGAACUGCAUCCGAUACUGGAUGGCUUGAAUUCGGGAGAGGGAUGCAGAAUUCCAGGUGUAGCGGUGAAAUGCGUAGAUAUCUGGAGGAAUACCGGUGGCGAAGGCGGCAUCCUGGACCGACAUUGACGCUGAGGAGCGAAAGCCAGGGGAGCAAACGGGG
rnacentral:rRNA from 1 species